GAUUGAACGCUGGCGGAAUGCUUUACACAUGCAAGUCGAACGGCAGCACGGGAGCUUGCUCCUGGUGGCGAGUGGCGAACGGGUGAGUAACGCGUCGGAACGUACCGAGUAAUGGGGGAUAACGCAGCGAAAGCUGUGCUAAUACCGCAUACGCCCUGAGGGGGAAAGUGGGGGAUCGCAAGACCUCACGUUAUUCGAGCGGCCGACGUCUGAUUAGCUUGUUGGUGGGGUAAUGGCCUACCAAGGCGACGAUCAGUAGCGGGUCUGAGAGGAUGAUCCGCCACACUGGAACUGAGACACGGUCCAGACUCCUACGGGAGGCAGCAGUGGGAAUUUUGGACAAUGGGGGCAACCCUGAUCCAGCCAUUCCGCGUGAGUGAAGAAGGCCUUCGGGUUGUAAAGCUCUUUCAGCUGGAACGAAACGGUACAUCCUAAUACGGUGUGCUAAUGACGGUACCAGCAGAAGAAGCACCGGCUAACUACGUGCCAGCAGCCGCGGUAAUACGUAGGGUGCGAGCGUUAAUCGGAAUUACUGGGCGUAAAGCGUGCGCAGGCGGAUUGUUAAGCAAGAUGUGAAAUCCCCGGGCUUAACCUGGGAAUGGCAUUUUGAACUGGCAGUCUAGAGUGUGUCAGAGGGGGGUGGAAUUCCACGUGUAGCAGUGAAAUGCGUAGAGAUGUGGAGGAACACCAAUGGCGAAGGCAGCCCCCUGGGAUAACACUGACGCUCAUGUACGAAAGCGUGGGUAGCAAACAGGAUUAGAUACCCUGGUAGUCCACGCCCUAAACGAUGUCAACUGGUUGUUGGGGGAGUGAAAUCCCUUAGUAACGAAGCUAACGCGUGAAGUUGACCGCCUGGGGAGUACGGUCGCAAGAUUAAAACUCAAAGGAAUUGACGGGGACCCGCACAAGCGGUGGAUGAUGUGGAUUAAUUCGAUGCAACGCGAAAAACCUUACCUACCCUUGACAUGUCCAGAACCCUGCAGAGAUGCGGGGGUGCCCGAAAGGGAAUUGGAACACAGGUGCUGCAUGGCUGUCGUCAGCUCGUGUCGUGAGAUGUUGGGUUAAGUCCCGCAACGAGCGCAACCCUUAUCAUUAGUUGCUACGCAAGGGCACUCUAAUGAGACUGCCGGUGACAAACCGGAGGAAGGUGGGGAUGACGUCAAGUCCUCAUGGCCCUUAUGGGUAGGGCUUCACACGUCAUACAAUGGUCGGUACAGAGGGUUGCCAAGCCGCGAGGUGGAGCCAAUCCCAGAAAGCCGAUCGUAGUCCGGAUUGUUCUCUGCAACUCGAGAGCAUGAAGUCGGAAUCGCUAGUAAUCGCGGAUCAGCAUGUCGCGGUGAAUACGUUCCCGGGUC
rnacentral:rRNA from 1 species